rnacentral:tRNA from 1 species
GGUCUUUUGAUGUAGCGGUUGUCACGUCUGCUUUAAACGCAGAAAGUCGCCGGUUCGAUUCCGGCUAUGGCCU